rnacentral:rRNA from 1 species
CCUACGGGAGGCUGCAGUAGGGAAUUUUGCACAAUGGGCGCAAGCCUGAUGCAGCCACGCCGCGUGAGUGAAGAAGGCCUUUGGGUUGUAAAGCUCUUUCGGCUGGGAAGAAGGGUCACAACGCGAAUAGCUCUGUGAUCUGACGGUACCAGAAGAAGAAGCCCCGGCUAACUUCGUGCCAGCAGCCGCGGUAAUACGAAGGGGGCAAGCGUUGUUCGGAAUUAUUGGGCGUAAAGCGCGCGUAGGCGGGUCUGUAAGUCGAUUGUGAAAACCCU